AUUGAACGCUGGCGGCAGGCAUAACACAUGCAAGUCGAGCGGAGCGGAUGACGGGUGAGUAAUGCCUAGGAAUCUGCCUGGUAGUGGGGGAUCACGUCCGGAAACGGGCGCUCCUACCGCGGACUAUCAGAUAGGACUAGGGCGGAUUAGCUAGUUGUGGGGGUAAAGGCCUACCAAGGCGACGAUCCGUAACUGGGCUGAGAGGAUGAUCAGUCACACUGGAACUGAGACAAGGUCCAGACUCCGACGGGAGGCAGUAUUGGGGAAUAUUGGACAAUGGGCGAAAGCCUGAUCCAGCCAUGCCGCGUGUGUGAAGAAGGUCGUCGGAUUGUAAAGCACUUUAAGUUGGGAGGCGUUACCAACAGAAUAAGCACCGGCUAACUUCGUGCCAGCAGCCUCGGUAAUUC
rnacentral:rRNA from 1 species